ACAGAGGCUCCUGAUACAGCAUCCAAUGGAAUUCAGAAUUUGACAUGUCAUGUAUGCAGCACAGAUGAUAGUGAUGCAACAGACUUCUGUUAUGCUGGUGGGAUUCUACUGACUUUGGAGGGAUCCACUGAGAUGUGUAUGGUUGGAGAGAGUUGUCUGACAUUAAAGACUUCGAACAUAACACACACAUCCAUCGUCCGCCAAUGCGCCUCUACAGCUAUGUAUUGUGACAAUGCGGACAUGCCAUCCAUGUCCUGCAAACACGCUCAACCUACAGGAGGAAUACACAUGAGUGAGUGCCACAGAUGCUGUUCAACCGACUAUUGUAAUCUGGACGCUGGUUCAUCAGAUUGCCGACCCAUUCCUUCUCUCUUAUUACUGCUAGCUACUAUUUUCAUGACCUUGGCAAUAUGAGCAUGAAAUACCCAUCUAAACAUCCUGGCUAAACAUGGACGUUUUCAUAUAUUUUUCCCGUGUCGAUCGGUAUUUAUGUACUGGGGAAAGACUUCGUGAGGAAUAGAUAAAAAAUGCGAGCGCGAAGCGCGAUCUGAAAUAAACGGAUCUUUAUGCCCAUGUAGGGAAAUAAUUUGCUAUGAUAGGACCAAAGGCCUAAUUGUACUCUUUUGUUAUUUUUGUAUGAUGCUGUUUAAACACUAUUAACUGUUUUUAAGACCAUUUUUGCUGUACCCAUUCAAUUCCUCUCUUGACAACAUGACACUUAAUUAGCAGAAACUAGUUUAAACAUGAAUAAGUUGGAAUAACAGAUGUGGGUAUACUUUGAGAAGAAUUGUAAUGUCGUAAUACUCAUUCUUUAAAAAAAAGGGGUUUGUUUUUCGAAAUGAAAUAUA